CCGUAAGCUCAGUCGCGUGCGCGAAUAACUACCUUUCUCUCGUGAAAAAUAGUAUAGUAGAUUUGCCAUAUAACUUAUAAAUAUAUUUUUAUCCGAUUUACACCUGUUGUAGCAACUCUCUCUCUCUCUCAUCAGAAACAAAAAAAUUAAGAUAAGCAAAUAAAUUUAAACGAUAACAACAUAAUUAAAACUUGGGUAGUAUACAGUUUUCAGAAAAAAUUAUAAGAAAUCGUAGCUAUAUCCAUUUGCACGAACACCAACGUUAAGAAAAAAAAGUUGAAUUAAAAAAUAUGUAGUUACCCCAACAAACAUAACUUGUUUAUAUAUACAAACUGAAACAUACCAUGAGCUCAAAAAUGAAAUUUUCAAUCGAGCAACGAGAACUUUUGAUUUCUAAAAUCCAAUCAAGACCUCCCUAGUGGAAUGAUUGACAUCCUAACCACAAAUAAAACAAACAAAAUGUGGGAUGAAGUGGAAAAGUAGUUU